AUUGAACGCUGGCGGCAUGCCUAACACAUGCAAGUCGAACGGCAGCGCGAUAGUGGUAACACUAUUGGCGGCGAGUGGCGGACGGGUGAGUAAAAUGUAGGAAUCUACCUUGAGGAGGGGGAUAACUUGUGGAAACUCAAGCUAAUACCACAUAAGACCUAAGGGUGAAAGCAGGGGAUCGAAAGACCUUGCGCCUUAAGAUGAGCCUACAACGGAUGAGCUAGUUGGGGGGGUAAAGGCCCACCAAGGCGACGAUCUGUAGCGGGUCUGAGAGGAUGACCAGCCACACUGGGACUGAGACACGGCCCAGACUCCUACGGGAGGCAGCAGUGGGGAAUAUUGGACAAUGGGGGAAACCCUGAUCCAGCAAUGCCGCGUGUGUGAAGAAGGCCUUCGGGUUGUAAAGCACUUUCAGUGGGGAGGAAGGGGUUUGUGCUAAUAUCACAAAUCAUUGACGUUACCUACAGAAGAAGCACCGGCUAACUCUGUGCCAGCAGCCGCAGUAACAC
rnacentral:rRNA from 1 species